CUAGUCAUAAACAAAAAAAUUAUAAAGAAAAUAGAGUAGAUAAAUAGGAGGCUCAAGAGCUGUAAGUGAAGACAUUACCAAGAAAUUAAAGGAUAGGGCCACCUUAAUAAGUUCCAGAGGGACAAUCCAAUUUUGCUUUAAAAAAAAAUAAUGUGAAACAAAUUAUGCAUAGAAUCACUUGAGUCCAAUUUUUUUAAAAAAGAAAAACUAAAUCCUUACAC
rnacentral:lncRNA from 1 species